rnacentral:tRNA from 1 species
GCCAUGGUGGCGGAAUUGGUAGACGCGCACGACUCAAAAUCGUGUUCCUGAAAGGGAUUGUGGGUUCGAUUCCCACCCAUGGCACCA